GUCAUCCUCAGCAAGUCCCAUAAUCUCUUGGGGCUCUGGGCAAUGCUCAAAGACUAAAAUUUCAGAGAAAGUAUCAAUCUGCAUUGAAAGAAGAAGCUUGGUCUCCCAGGAUUUUCCUAUUCUAAAGAAAUCAUAGAUUCAGUCUUUUCCCUAUUGCUGUCUUCCAGGCCUCAUCCUUUCCCUUCAAUCCCUCCCUAUCUUCUUCAUCUCCUUUUUACUCUGGGUACCUUUCUAGGUGUUCUGCUUCUUUCUGCACAAUACAUUUUCAAAGGCAUCAGACCUCCUGGACAAAAAUAAACCAGCCAGCAACUGUCAAAACAUCAAAGUUUACUUAACUCUCAGGAAGGAGAAUGUCUGUGUUUGGGUUACUCCUGGUGGAAAGUUGGAGGGGAAAGGAGGGGCUGAACUGUGGAGGACUGUUGAGCUGUAUGGAUGACUUCCAAGUUCCAUGUGGGAGGGACUUUUUUGAGAUGGGAGAGAGGGUGGUGGCCUAAGAAUGUCUAACAAUUGAGGGGCUUGAUUGCGACACCCCCAAACUGCCUCACCACAUCAAGUUUUCCACUUCAGGGCAGCCGCCAAAGAGAAUUCCUCAAGGCUAUAGGGGAAACAGGUCCUGCUGCAGCUUGCUGUCUGUCCUGCAUUGCCAACCCUCCAGGGAGAAGUCUCCAAUUGCUGCAGAUGUUCCUGCCAAAAGAUGUUUCCUGAGUACCAGAAAGCAUCAGAAUUCUUAAAAUGUAGAGAGACCUCAGUUGCGAGCUGAGGACCUAAAAACCAGUGUCAAAGUGAGCAGGAAAAAGAAACUGCAGCAGGAAGGAAGAAACAAUUUAACAUCUUAAGAAACAUGAAACUUUGCACCUCAAACUGGAAAAAUGGACAAGAUGAUUUUCUUCCUUACUAACUGUGUUUUUUCAGUUAUGAAUAGCCUUUGGCCCUUAACAAAAUGGAAAUAUAUAUAAUCAUAGUGGCCUUCA